AUUGAGCGCUGGCGGCAUGCCUUACACAUGCAAGUCGAACGGCAGCGGACCUUCGGGUGCCGGCGAGUGGCGAACGGGUGAGUAAUAUAUCGGAACGUACCUUUCAGUGGGGGAUAACGUAGCGAAAGUUACGCUAAUACCGCAUAUUCUCUGAGGAGGAAAGCGGGGGACCGUAAGGCCUCGCGCUUUAGGGGCGGCCGAUGUCUGAUUAGCUAGUUGGUGGGGUAAAGGCUCACCAAGGCGACGAUCUGUAGCGGGUCUGAGAGGAUGGUCCGCCACACUGGAACUGAGACACGGUCCAGACUCCUACGGGAGGCAGCAGUGGGGAAUUUUGGACAAUGGGCGCAAGCCUGAUCCAGCCAUGCCGCGUGAGUGAAGAAGGCC
rnacentral:rRNA from 1 species